rnacentral:tRNA from 1 species
GCGCCCAUAGCUCAGCCGGAUAGAGCAUCUGCCUUCUAAGCAGAGGGUCCCAGGUUCGAGUCCUGGUGGGCGUGCAA